rnacentral:rRNA from 1 species
AUUGAACGCUGGCGGCAUGCCUUACACAUGCAAGUCGAACGGUAACAGGUCUUCGGAUGCUGACGAGUGGCGAACGGGUGAGUAAUACAUCGGAACGUGCCUAGUAGUGGGGGAUAACUACUCGAAAGAGUGGCUAAUACCGCAUGAGAUCUACGGAUGAAAGCAGGGGAUCGCAAGACCUUGUGCUACUAGAGCGGCCGAUGGCAGAUUAGGUAGUUGGUGGGAUAAAAGCUUACCAAGCCGACGAUCUGUAGCUGGUCUGAGAGGACGAUCAGCCACACUGGGACCAAGACACGGCCCAGACUCCUACGGGAGGAAGCAGUGGGGAAUUUUGGACAAUGGGCGCAAGCCUGAUCCAGCAAUGACGCGUGCAGGAUGAAGGCCUGCGGGUUGUAAACUGCUUUUGUACGGAACGAAAAGCCCUGGGUUAAUACCCUGGGGUCAUGACGGUACCGUAAGAAUAAGCACCGGCUAACUACGUGCCAGCCGCCGCCGUAAAAC